GAUGAACGCUAGCGGCAGGCCUAACACAUGCAAGUCGAGGGGCAGCGGGUAAGUAGCUUGCUACUUAUGCCGGCGACCGGCGGACGGGUGCGUAACGCGUAUGUAACCUACCUUUGACAGGGGGAUAACAUCGAGAAAUUGGUACUAAUACCCCAUAACAUCACCGGAGGCAUCUUCGGUGGUUGAAAACUCAGGUGGUCAGAGAUGGACAUGCGUUGUAUUAGCUAGUUGGUGAGGUAACGGCUCACCAAGGCGACGAUACAUAGGGGUUCUGAGAGGAAGGUCCCCCACACUGGUACUGAGACACGGACCAG
rnacentral:rRNA from 1 species